GAGUUUGAUUAUGGCUCAGGAUGAACGCUGGCGGCGUGCCUAACACAUGCAAGUCGAGCGCGGUUGUGCUUAGUAUUGAGUGUUUUAUUGAUAUAAAACAUUGAAUUCUAUGCACAACUGAGCGGCGGACGGGUGAGUAACGCGUGGGUAACCUGCCCUAUACACAUGGAUAACAUACUGAAAAGUUUACUAAUACAUGAUAAAAUAGUUUUUCGGCAUCGAAGAAUUAUCAAAGUGUUAGCGGUAUAGGAUGGACCCGCGUCUGAUUAGCUAGUUGGUGAGAUAACUGCCCACCAAGGCGACGAUCAGUAGCCGACCUGAGAGGGUGAUCGGCCACAUUGGAACUGAGACACGGUCCAAACUCCUACGGGAGGCAGCAGUGGGGAAUAUUGCACAAUGGGCGCAAGCCUGAUGCAGCAACGCCGCGUGAACGAUGAAGGUCUUCGGAUUGUAAAGUUCUGUUGCAGGGGAAGAUAAUGACG
rnacentral:rRNA from 1 species